rnacentral:rRNA from 1 species
CGCGGCCUAUCAGCUUGUUGGUGAGGUAACGGCUCACCAAGGCGACGACGGGUAGCCGGCCUGAGAGGGUGACCGGCCACACUGGGACUGAGACACGGCCCAGACUCCUACGGGAGGCAGCAGUGGGGAAUAUUGCACAAUGGGCGCAAGCCUGAUGCAGCAACGCCGCGUGAGGGAUGACGGCCUUCGGGUUGUAAACCUCUUUUAGCAGGGAAGAAGCGAAAGUGACGGUACCUGCAGAAAAAGCACCGGCUAACUACGUGCCAGCAGCCGCGGUAAUACGUAGGGUGCAAGCGUUGUCCGGAACUAUUGGGCGUAAAGAGCUCGUAGGCGGUUUGUCACGUCUGCUGUGAAAAUCCAAGGCUCAACCUUGGACUUGCAGUGGGUACGGGCAGGCUAGAGUGCGGUAGGGGAGAUGGGAAUUCCUGGUGUAGCGGUGGAAUGCGCAGAUAUCAGGAGGAACACCAAUGGCGAAGGCACAUCUCUGGGCCGUAACUGACGCUGAGGAGCGAAAGCGUGGGGAGCGAACAGGAUUAGAUACCCUGGUAGUCCACGCCGUAAACGGUGGGUGCUAGCUGUGGGCCACAUUCCACGUGGUCCGUGACGAAGUUAACACAUUAAGCACCCCGCCUGGGGAGUACGG